rnacentral:rRNA from 1 species
GACGAACGCUGGCGGCGUGCUUAACACAUGCAAGUCGAACGGAAAGGCCCUGCUUUUGUGGGGUGCUCGAGUGGCGAACGGGUGAGUAACACGUGAGUAACCUGCCCUUGACUUUGGGAUAACUUCAGGAAACGGGGGCUAAUACCGGAUAGUAGCUCCUGCUGCAUGGUGGGGGUUGGAAAGGUUCGGCGGGUGGGGAUGGACUCGCGGCUUAUCAGCUUGUUGGUGGGGUAGUGACUUACCAAGGCUUUGACGGGUAGCCGGCCUGAGAGGGUGACCGCCCACGUUGGUACUGAGAUACGGCCCAGACUCCUGCGGGAGGCAGCAGUCGGGAAUAUUGCACAAUGGGCGGAAGCCUGAUGCAGCAACGCCGCGUGCGGGAUGACGGCCUUCGGGUUGUAAACCGCUUUCGCCUGUGACGAAGCGUGAGUGACGGUAAUGGGUAAAGAAGCACCGGCUAACUACGUG